UACCAGCACCCCGAGUGGUCGGGACGUUAUUGGGCCUAAAGUAUCCGUAGCCGGUUCUACAAGUCUUCCGUUAAAUCCAACUGCUUAACAGGUGGGCUGCGGAAGAUACUAUAGAGCUAGGAGGCGGGAGAGGCAAGCGGUACUCGAUGGGUAGGGGUAAAAUCCGUUGAUCCAUUGAAGACCACCAGUGGCGAAGGCGGCUUGCCAGAACGCGCUCGACGGUGAGGGAUGAAAGCUGGGGGAGCAAACCGG
rnacentral:rRNA from 1 species